rnacentral:misc_RNA from 1 species
CGAAACAGCUCGGCUUGGCCGA